CCAAUGUGGACAGCCACUGGGUCCCUUCGUGUCUUCGUCUGUGUGGCACAAAGGAGCACAGCACUCAGGUGCAGUGGUGUAGAAUCCUGUCCCAUGACAUUGGAGAUGAGCUUGUCCCCAGUCUUGGGACUGUUGUGGCCACAUCUUGUACAUUCCUUGUCUUCUCAGUGCCUGGUUGCUGAGGAGAAAAACCAUGUAGGGCACAACU